GCCUGGGUGGCUUAGCCGGUCAAGCGCCAGACUUCGGCUCAGGUCAUGAACUCACAGUCCGUGGGUUCGAGCCCCGCAUCGGGCU
rnacentral:tRNA from 1 species